rnacentral:rRNA from 1 species
AUGGUCAGCACUCAGCGGUCCAAAAGGACGGGUGCACCGGCACUCGCCCCGUCGUCGCUACCUCAGUUCGUUCCGCCGUUGAUGCAUCAUCUCGUCCCGCCGUCGGCGCCACAGCUAAUCCUGCCAUCGGCGCUGCACCUCGUCCCGCCGCUGGCACCUCACCUUGUCCCACCACCACGCCAGCCACCAAAGGCAGCGGCGGCCUCUACACCAUGCUGGCUCCCCCAGACGCAAGGCCCCUUGUGGUACAGGGAUAUUGACAAUUUGACUCCAGAAGCAUGGGGAGUGGAUUCUCACCCACGUGGUGGGUUCCUUGGUUUAUUUAACAACACGCCAAGCCUUUCACAAUCUUGA